GAUGAACGCUGGCGGCGUGCCUAAUACAUGCAAGUCGAGCGAACAGACGAGGAGCUUGCUCCUCCGACGUUAGCGGCGGACGGGAGAGUAACACGUGGAUAACCUACCUAUAAGACUGGGAUAACUUCGGGAAACCGGAGCUAAUACCGGAUAAUAUAUUGAACCGCAUGGUUCAAUAGUUAAAGACGGUUUUGCUGUCACUUAUAGAUGGAUCCGCGCCGCAUUAGCUAGUUGGUAAGGUAACGGCUUACCAAGGCAACGAUGCGUAGCCGACCUGAGAGGGUGAUCGGCCACACUGGAACUGAGACACGGUCCAGACUCCUACGGUAGGCAGCAGUAGGGAAUCUUCCGCAAUGGGCGAAAGCCUGACGGAGCAACGCCGCGUGAGUGAUGAAGGUCUUCGGAUCGGAAAACUCUGCUAUUAGGGAAGAACAAAUGUGUAAGUAACUAUGCACGUCUUGACGGUACCUAAUCAGAAAGCCACGGCUAACUACGUG
rnacentral:rRNA from 1 species